CCUCAAACCUCGUGUAACAUAUUUCUAGCGCAUAUAGGUGCUUAUUUUCUAUGUUUUCUACAUUUUUGGAGUUUCCAUAAAUUUAGUUUGUGCUACGGAUAAUACAUAGUAGUAUAUUAAGUUUGAAUUCAUGAUCAUGUUCUCUCACCUGCUAUAUAGAAUUUAGUUUGACCUGCAUAAAUCACUUGAAGAGAGGGAUAAAAGGAGAGGGGGAGAGAUGCAUGUUGUGAAGGAGCAAGCCCAUUCAAUUCUAAAUAUGUUCCAUGUGCUGAGAAAUUUCUGUUUAAUUCAAUUGUACGGUUAGUACAUUCGUACUUGAUAUACAAGCAGUUUUGUACAUGAAGAAUGCAUGUGCGGAGAGAGGUUUACUUAGGGCAGCUCAAAUCCCAUCUUGAGCUCUAAUAUCUCUGUUAUUAAUUUUGAUUUGAUUGUGUACGUUCACACAGCUGCAAGGUUAAUUCACUGGUCAAUACUUCAAACUUGAUUGUUGAAUUGUACUAAAUUCCAUACUCCGGUCUUCCGGUGGCGUCCCUGGGAUGUGACAUCUAAAUAUGUAUUCUUGCCAUCGCAGCAAAAAAUUUGAGAUAUCUCAUAUAUUGGCAAAGCUAAUGCCUGAGAGGGAGCUACCAAACAAGCAUGCUUUAUAUUUGGGGCGUGCAGGCUGGAAGGAUCAUUGGUAAUUGAUCCUAUCAAAGGAAGGUGCGAUCUCUAGGCUGAAGGAAUGGCUGAUUGAUUCAGCUAUAGGAAGCAAUCCUGUUCUGCGAUUGAUUGCUCGAAUCAUAUUUAUGCAAGAGCAAGACUACACACGAGGCUGUCAAGCACACACACACAACAGAGGAACUCUGGACAUUUCAUCAUCUUCUGACACUGGAAGAGGAUUCACUAAGUUAUAAAGUAAUAAAGUAAAACAUGGAUUUCACUUACUUGAGAGAAGAUCUGGCCAUGACAUUGACACUGCUACGUACCAGACUAAAGUUCAACAAACGAUCAUUCAUCAUCUUCUGAUCAUGGUCUUUGCCGUUUAUGAUGCCAAUUUUGGACAUACCGUUUGUUCAACUACAUACUAAGGCAG